rnacentral:rRNA from 1 species
GGGCCCGCACAAGCGGUGGAGUAUGUGGUUUAAUUCGAUGCAACGCGAAGAACCUUACCUGGUCUUGACAUCCCUGGAAUCUUCUGGAAACGGAAGAGUGCUUUUCGGAGAGCCAGGAGACAGGUGCUGCAUGGCUGUCGUCAGCUCGUGUCGUGAGAUGUUGGGUUAAGUCCCGCAACGAGCGCAACCCUUGCCUUUAGUUGCCAGCAGGUUAAGCCUGGGCACUCUUAAAGGGACUGCCGGUGUUAAACCGGAGGAAGGUGGGGAUGACGUCAAGUCCUCAUGGCCCUUACGACCAGGGCUACACACGUACUACAAUGGCCGAUACAAAGGGCAGCGACACUGCGAAGUGAAGCCAAUCCCAUAAAGUCGGUCUCAGUUCCCGGAUUGGAGUCUGCAACUCGACUCCAUGAAGUUGGAAUCGCUAGUAAUCGCGGAUCAGCAUGCCG